rnacentral:tRNA from 1 species
GCCCCUGUAGUCCAACUGGCAGAGACCGCGCUCUCAAACAGCGUCCAGUGUGGGUUCGAAUCCCACCGGGGGCACCA